ACACCAUUAAAGCAGCCAUUUCAUAAUAGAUGAAUGAGAUCAUUUUGGGUUAAAAAAAUUCUUUGAAAGGGUUACUUACAUAUACUGGGGAAGGGAGUGUGUGUAAUGCACCCAUAAUAAGCCAUGACUUUAUUUGUUUCUCCAGCUGUAACCUUCUGAAAACUUGCAUAGCUCAGGCUGAAUACAUAUUAUUAAGUUUUUGUAAUUUGGGGCUUAUCCUGUGAGGUCCUGACCUGAGCUAAUGUAACUCUUAUCAACUGCCAAAAGAAAUACAGCCAUUGACUUGAGUAGGAGCAAGACCAGUUGGCAGGCUGCCUCAUUAUUAAAUUCUUCCCUCAUUAUCUGCAAGAAGCGCUGUGAAAAGACUAGAAAACUAAGGCGCUGGUAACUGCUUUCAUCAGGAGGUACUAUGGGCACUUUGAGAGCUGAGCCACAUGCCAGAACUCGGGCUGCCGGCUCUCACUAGCAGCAGUAACAACAAAAAUCAGCAAAUACUUGGAAGCGCUUCUUAGCUCGUGCUGAGAAGCGCACAUCGCUGCUGGGCUGUAGCUGGGACUAUGGGCCAGAUGCAGAUAAUCUUUUUUUGGAAGGUGGAACCCAACACAGAACAUUUCCACCCUGGAGCCCUAGACACGUCCCUGGGAAACACCUGGCUGCGACCAACGCACGCCGCCGCAAGCCCGCCCUUUGCCUGCGGAGUGCAGGUGCGCCCCUGGCAAGCGGCAGCAGGGUCUCGCAGCCGGCCGGGCUGGUAGGAGCUUAUUAGAGACACUGAAUCAUGUUGGGAAUGACUGUGAUCAACAUUCUGCUCCCUGCUGUGAUGCAAAUGCAUGGAAAUAUCUGAAAACUGGAACUUCUUCAGGAACUCCUGGAUAAAGUAGGAAGUAGCUAUAAGAAUAAUGCACUGAAUAAAGCAGUGGGUAAGGAUUGCUUCCUAGUCUGUCAGCACUUACAGCUAGCAGAUGAAGAAAGGCAAAAGUUUACUGAUCCAUGAGAGGACCUUCUUUCUUAUUGCAUGUCUGCCCACUUUGGUUUUUGCCUUUGGUGUUGGACCUUGUCAAAGGCUUUCUGAAAGACCAGAUACACUAUAUCAACUGGAUCACCCCUCUCCACAUGUUUGUUGACCCCCUAAAAGAAUUCUAAUAAAUUGAUGAUAGAUUGAUGAAGCAUGAUUACAAAAGCCAUGUUGUGACUAUUCCCUAACACAGUGUUUCCCAAACUUGGGAUGCUGCUUGUGUAGGGAAACCCCUGAUGGG